GUGCAUACGGUGUAAGGUAUAAUUUCUUCUAACAUCACCAACUCUACUGCAUUUGGCACCAAUCUCCAACAGGUAAAUCUUAUCAGUUAUAGGUCAACAAGUGGAAUCAUUUAGCUCUUUAGGAGUUAAAAAUCAUGUUAGGCAAAUCCUUUGAGUGGGCUAAACCAACCAUGUGAUGUAAUUUUAAGCUUUGCCCCCUUUUUUUUUUUUCCGACGUCCUUGCGAUGCUCGCUUGGACUGGUAGUGAGCUUGCCGGUAAAGCAGCUUUUGGGACCACGGAAUACUUUUGCACUCGCCAAAGGCCAAGGUUCCCAGCUACUCGUUAUUUAUCACCACGUUUUUCACGUGUCACAAACAUUUGUUUGGUUUGAAGUUUGGGACGUGAUGCGAAACACCACGUUUUCCUUGUGGAGCUACCAAACAGUUGCGAAUAAUAAUAAAACCGACAAAGCGCCCUCCAGCUUGCAAGCGAGAUUUAAGAGUUACGUCAUCUAGCUGGGCUUGG
rnacentral:lncRNA from 1 species